CUCUGUCUUUUGAUUGUAGCAUUUAACCCAUUUACAUUUAAGGUUAUUAUUAAUAGGUACAUAUUUACUGCCAUUUUUGUCUUUAUACCUAUGUUCCUCUCAAUUUUUUUUUU